rnacentral:rRNA from 1 species
GUAACACGUAGUCAACAUGCCCAGGGGACGUGGAUAACCUCGGGAAACUGAGGAUAAACCGCGAUAGGUCACUACUUCUGGAAUGGGUAAUGACUCAAACCUAUAUGGCCCCUGGAUUGGACUGCGGCCGAUCAGGCUGUUGGUGAGGUAAUGGCCCACCAAACCUGUAACCGGUACGGGCUCUGAGAGGAGGAGCCCGGAGAUGGGCACUGAGACAAGGGCCCAGGCCCUAUGGGGCGCAGCAGGCGCGAAACCUCUGCAAUAGGCGAAAGCCUGACAGGGUUACUCUGAGUGAUCUCCGUUAAGGAGAUCUUUUGGCACCUCUAAAAAUGGUGCAGAAUAAGGGGUGGGCAAGUCUGGUGUCAGCCGCCGCGGUAAUACCAGCACCCCGAGUGGUCGGGACGUUUAUUGGGCCUAAAGCAUCCGUAGCCGGUUCUACAAGUCUUCCGUUAAAUCCAGCUGCUUUACAGAUGGGCUGCGGAAGAUACUAUGGAGCU